UAGUCAUACAUUUCAAAGCAGCAGAUUACAAACCAUAUAUAUAAUUUUCUUUGCCAUACCAUCUUUGGAUGUAAUCCUUUCAGAUCUCUCGCAAGUUCCCCUAGACAGAAGGAUGAUGGAUAAGAAAGAGAAGGAAGGAAUACAAGAAGGAACAGAAAAAAAGUAUAAGAAACUCCAGGUGAAAGGGUCGUCCUGAGAUUCCUCUGUGAGAGAAAAACUUGCUUCCCUGCCUGGUCUCCAACUCACCUCUGAGCAUGUGCUAAGGGUGCAAAACCCCAUGUGAGUGCCCCAGGCCUCAAAGCAUCUAGUGAACGUUCAUUAAAUUCAUGUACCCCUGCAACAAGGUAUGUAAAUAUUAGUUUCCUCGCUGGUAAAAAUGAGAUUAAGGAGUCUGUGAAUUGCCCAAGGUGACAGAGCCAGGUGUAAAACCCAGCAGUUCUGAUUCCCAAGUCCCUGUUCUAAUCGCGUAACAGGACUGUGCCCUCCCUCUCACAAAGAACUGGGGCGGAAAGCGAAUGGCAAUCCAACCCUUUCAUCCCAGCUGAG